GCAGAGGCGGCGAAGAUGGCGAGUCGCGGCGGUCUGUAAAACCGUUGCCUUCGGGUUGAAUCAGUUCGAAUCUGAUCCUCUGCA
rnacentral:tRNA from 1 species